rfam:Arabis alpina cultivar Pajares Aa.chr1_contig_3354, whole genome shotgun sequence.
UGCACUCUGUGAUGCAAAUUAUGUCCUUGUCAAUGAUUUAACAGUGAUUAUUAACUAAUAGAUCACCAUCUUUCGACUGAGAUUGCA